rnacentral:rRNA from 1 species
UAGUUUAUUUGGUACUGUAAAGGAUAGGUUUUAAAUUAGAAAAAAGAAGAGUUUAAUUUUUGUACCUUUUGUAUCAGGGGCAAUUAAAAUAUGUGUUUUAUGAAAUUUUAUCUCGAAAGGGUAGGAGUUAGUCUUUUGUUGUCAUUUAUGUUGAAAAAUGAAAUUACGAACAAAAGAUUAGUGGUGAAACGCCAGUCGACUUUCAUAUAUCUAGUUCUUUCCGAAAAAAAUUUAAUUUAACUUCUCGGAUGAAUAUUUUGGGAAUUUUAUUUUAAGAGGGAUGAGCUUCUUAAAAUAAAUGGCAUGGUGGGAGAAUUGUAAUUAUCUUUUAUUUAGGCUUAAGAUCAGCCACAUUAGUAUAUCGUUUUAGAUAAUAGGGUUUAAAAGCGAAAUUUUUAUUCUGCUUGCGUUUUGUUAUAGGGAAGAAUCUAUAAAAAUUUUUUGUAUGGAUUUAAAGUGAUUGUAUUAGUAUAUAUUGGGUGUGGAUUUUGACAAGUUGAAAUUAGUUUAUAUUUGUCAAUGUUUUGUUAUUGUAUGUUUAAGGAACUCGGCAAAAUUUACCUCUGCCUGUUUAUCAAAAACAUGUCUGCAUGGAAAGUGGUGUGCAGUCUAGCCUGCCCCCUGAUUUUUAAAGGGCCGCGGUAUCUCAACCGUGCUAAGGUAGCAUAAUCAAUAGUCUUUUAAUUGAGGUCUAGUAUGAACGGCUGGACAGGAGGUAAGCUGUCUUAAUCAUAACUGUUGAAUUUUACUUUUAAGUGAAAAGGCUUAAAUUUUAUGAGGGGACGAUAAGACCCUAUAAAGCUUUACAUACACGUUCUUAAUUUUAGAAAUUUAGGGUGCUUCUGUUUGAUUAGUGUGUAUGUUUCGUUGGGGCGACGGGAAUAUAAAAUUGUAACUGUUUUCGUUAUAGAAAUAGAUGUUUUUAGAGAAUUUGAUCCUUUUUAGAGAUUAUGAGAUUAAAGUUACUUUAGGGAUAACAGCGUAAUUUUCCUUGAGAGUUCUUAUCGACAGGAGUAGUUGCGACCUCGAUGUUGAAUUAAGGUGUCGCCAAGAUGCAGCAGUUUUGGGAGUAGGUCUGUUCGACCUUUGAAGCCUUACAUGAUUUGAGUUCAGACCGGCGUGAGCCAGGUUAGUUUCUAUCUUUCAUUUUUUUAAAGGUCGCUCUAGUACGAAAGGAGAAAGUGGCCAGAAUAUUUCUUUGAAAUAGAUGAA